rnacentral:rRNA from 1 species
UGGGGAAUAUUGCACAAUGGGCGCAAGCCUGAUGCAGCCAUGCCGCGUGUAUGAAGAAGGCCUUCGGGUUGUAAAGUACUUUCAGCGGGGAGGAAGGCGAUGCGGUUAAUAACCGCGUCGAUUGACGUUACCCGCAGAAGAAGCACCGGCUAACUCCGUGCCAGCAGCCGCGGUAAUACGGAGGGUGCAAGCGUUAAUCGGACUUACUGGGCGUAAAGCGCACGCAGGCGGUCUGUCAAGUCGGAUGUGAAAUCCCCGGGCUCAACCUGGGAACUGCAUCCGAAACUGGCAGGCUUGAGUCUCGUAGAGGGGGGUAGAAUUCCAGGUGUAGCGGUGAAAUGCGUAGAGAUCUGGAGGAAUACCGGUGGCGAAGGCGGCCUCCUGGACGAAGACUGACGCUCAGGUGCGAAAGCGUGGGGAGCAAACA